rnacentral:lncRNA from 1 species
GAGUGGGAUUCCGUGGGGGAUUUGCACAGAAGGACUCAACCCACUUCUGCUGUACUUGAAUGGAUGUGGAAUUUGUAGAAAGAUUCUGAAUGCUCCAACUAAUCGAACAGGAAGCAGGAUAAAGGCUGGCGUUCGUACUUGAAGAUUGCAAAUGUUGAUUCCCCAUUUCUCAGGUUGAGCCUUUUUCUUCUGAAUAGAGGCUUUCGGACAUCAAUGGCCACCCGAACCCAUAGACAACCCCCCAUCCCAGCCAUAGAAAACAAAUG